rnacentral:rRNA from 1 species
UACGAAGGGGGCUAGCGUUGUUCGGAUUUACUGGGCGUAAAGCGCACGUAGGCGGAUCUUUAAGUCAGAGGUGAAAUCCCAAGGCUCAACCUUGGAACUGCCUUUGAUACUGGGGAUCUUGAGUCCGGGAGAGGUGAGUGGAACUGCGAGUGUAGAGGUGAAAUUCGUAGAUAUUGGGAAGAACACCGGUGGCGAAGGCGGCUCACUGGCUCAUUUCUGACGCUCAGGCGCGACAGCGUGGGGAUCAAACAGG